GUUGGAACAGUUGUGUAUGAUUAAGAGUCUUACAAGUAAACUGGCUUUCAAGCAAAAGCUGUAUUCACAUCGCAUGGUGGAAGGAAAGCCGUUGGAAGACCAUGUAUUCAAGGAAAUAGUUGCCGAUCUGGAGACGUUGGAGGUUAAGUACAAUGAGGAGGAACUUGCUUUGAUCGUGUUGUAUUCGCUGCCUAGAUCUUAUGCGUCGUUUCGGGAUACUAUCUUGUACAAUCGAGAUACUUUGACCAUAGAAGACGUCUAUGAUGCUUUGCACUCAAAGGAGAAAAUGAAGCAUUUAGUUGGAGCUACAUCAAGGGAUGGGGAAGCUCUUGUAUCUCAAUGUGGUCGACGAAGAGACAGAUCGAGAGUUAGAUUUAGCAAUGUGAUAUGUUACUACUGCAAAAGGAAGGGACAUAUUCGGAAGGAUUGCAAUAUGUUGCAGGCUAAAGGUGAUUUAGCUGCAAAUCGUGGGGUGCAACCUUUGAAUUCAAACGAAACCAAUGUAGUAGAGAAUUGUUCAGAUAGCAAAGAGGUGAUGUUGACCGUGAUAUCUGAUGUGGAAUCUAGGCCUGACGAGGAGUGGAUUCUUGAUUCAGCAUGUUCGCACGAUAUAUGUUCUGAUAGGAAUUUAUUUCAAAGAUAUGAGACUAUUCAGCAAGGUGGAAUUGUAAUGAGAAACAACCAAUCUUACCAUAUUGCUGGAAUCGAUCGAGUCAGAUUGAGGCUGCGGAAUGAAACAUUUAGAACAAUUGAUGAGGUUCGACAUGUUCCUGACCUGAAAAGGAAUCUCAUUUCGCUAAGUAUCCUGGAUGCGAAAAGGUAUAAAUUCUCCAGAGGAGGUGGAGUCUUGAAGGUCCGAAAGGAAGUUCGAGUUGUAAUGGAGGGACGGAAAAGAUACAAGUUGUACAUUUUGCAGAGGAGUGCAGAACCAGUUAAGAGGAGACAUUUGGACAAGUUUAGUAAUACGGUGGAAGUUCAGUUUGGUACAAUACCUCUUGUGUUGGGCUCUAAGUCGAUUCAGAAAACUGCUAGGGAGAGCGUUGAUGAUUUCUCUUUACUACCAAUUUCAGGGAAUACACUGUGUUCAGUUGCUGGGAAAGAACUCAUCGAGCGUAGGUACCGUGGUGUCAACAAUGUCUGGGAUGCCCCUGAAGAUGUUGAAGGCGAUAGUUCCAGCAAAGAGCCUUCUGAUCAGGCAUUUGGUUUGGUUCUUGCUACAGGGUGUGCUUCAACCCUGUGUGAUCAACAUUAAUUCCUUGGUGGAAUUGGAAACCCUGGGGAUUGGGUUGUGGACGCCGGGCAGAGGACGAGUGUUUGGUUUAUAUGGAAUGUUUACUAUGUUGAAGAGAUUCGGCCAGUUCAUUUUGUUGCAAACGGAUUUGAAAUCUAGGAGUUUCGUUCGUUGCACUAGAAUUUGAGUCAAGAUGGACAUUG
rnacentral:lncRNA from 1 species